rnacentral:snRNA from 1 species
AUUUUUCAGUCUUUUGACUAAGAUAAAAUGUAAUAUUUGUUCUUAUCAGUCCAAUAUAUGAUAUGUGGACCAUAUGUUCACUUUGAUAUUAAAUUUAUUGAGUAUUAAAUAUGAUUGUGCAUCGUCGCAACACAU